rnacentral:rRNA from 1 species
UACGUCGGGGGCAAGCGUUGUCCGGAUUUAUUGGGCGUAAAGAGCGUGUAGGCGGCCAGGUAGGUCCGUUGUGAAAACUCGAGGCUUAACCUCGAGACGUCGAUGGAAACCAUCUGGCUAGAGUCCGGAAGAGGAGAGUGGAAUUCCCGGUGUAGCGGUGAAAUGCGCAGAUAUCGGGAAGAACACCCGUGGCGAAGGCGGCUCUCUGGGACGGUACUGACGCUGAGACGCGAAAGCGUGGGGAGCGAACAGG